ACACACACACACACACACACACACACACACACACUCAUGGAGAACCACAGGCGCCAAGUUCAGACACAGCACAGGGACUCCUUGCCCUGGCAGUAGUUCAGGUCCUG